UUGCACCAGCAAUGAAGGGCUUCGAGAAAGUUAAAAUGGCGACGCCCGAUCUGCUAUUGUGCAUAAACUGAAAGCUGAGCUUUAGUCAGCGGCUGCCAGACAACCGCUGAGAUGGAUCCACAGAUGUGUUCUUACAAAAUAGGACUUGUCUACUAAUUCCAUUUCACAUUU